rnacentral:lncRNA from 1 species
GUUUCCUACAAUUUUCUGGCUGUUCAUCAUCUAUUCCUUAGGCCUCGGUGGUAAGUUGGCCUUAAGAUCAACUAGACCUUCACUUUCUCUUUUUCACUCCACACUGAGUUCUAUGAUGAAGAGGAAUAUCACUGCUGUUCUUCUGCUUUCUAUUAACUAUAAAUACAGUUUACCCACACUUCAAGAGUUAGACCCAAGAGAUUCUUUAACAAAAUACCAGUUUUACACAUUUGACCUUACUUUCUUUAGGAAGGGUUUAGGAGGAAUCAAGUACAUUUUUCUUCUUUAUUCAUCCCUGGUGAAAUCAGCUCCUGAUUGAUGUCAAUUUUUUCCUUUGGCAAAUCUAAGAGUCUCUUAUUCAAGCUUUGAUUGUAUACAUACAUGACCGUUCAAGAGUCAUAGUAGGCAAGAGGUCAAGGUACAAAGGCUGAGGUUGUUUUGCUGUUUUCCCCAAAGCAUCCAGCAUGUAGAAAACUAUAUCAACUGAGUCUGUGUCAGUGAAACUUCAAAAUUAUGAUGAGCUUCUUUUGGACUCCCCUGGAACAGAACCAUUCAAUUCAGACAUGGGGAUCAAAAUAGCAAAGUGUAAAAAGUUGGAGGUAGAGGAGGAACACCAGAAAAACUCCAAUGAAAAAUCUAUGCCUUGUUUUUCAGAAUGAGUUAAAAUUAUUAAAUACUUACUAUAUACUAAACAUUGUUCUUAGCAUUUUAUGUGUAUUAAAGCAUCCAACCUCAUGGAACCUAAUGGGUAGGCAAUAUUAUUUUUUUCUGUUCUACAUGGAGGAAACUGAGGCUCAGAGUGAAAAGUUGCUUAUUUUGGAAGGCAAGGGUGGGGUCCCACUUCAGAGGGGCUUCAGUUUCCUUUCCAAAUGGACCGAUUGUUUAUGUGUUUCCUGUAUGUGCAUGUGUGUGUAUGUGUGUGCACACGUGUGUGAUGUUUUUGGCAGGCACAUUCACCUGCAUAACUCCCGUCAAAAUUUAACUACUUUUCCCAUCCUCAGGGGCCAUUUGUCCUUUGACGCUGAUGCUCCAUUUAUCACUUGCCAUUUCUUAUCAGCCUGCAGUCCCUGGAAAGCUAUUUCCCUUGGAAGAUGGAUGUGGAUGCUGCUUUUUGGAACAUGGAAGAUCUCAUGUUUUUGA